rnacentral:rRNA from 1 species
UGAGUAACCUGCCCUUAACUCUGGGAUAAGCCUGGGAAACUGGGUCUAAUACCGGAUAUGACUCCUCAUCGCAUGGUGGGGGGUGGAAAGCUUUUUGUGGUUUUGGAUGGACUCGCGGCCUAUCAGCUUGUUGGUGAGGUAAUGGCUCACCAAGGCGACGACGGGUAGCCGGCCUGAGAGGGUGACCGGCCACACUGGGACUGAGACACGGCCCAGACCUCCUACGGGAGGCAG